rnacentral:rRNA from 1 species
AGUGAACGCUGGCGGUAGGCCUAACACAUGCAAGUCGAACGGCAGCACAGUAAGAGCUUGCUCUUACGGGUGGCGAGUGACGGACGGGUGAGGAAUGCAUCGGAAUCUACUUUUUCGUGGGGGAUAACGUAGGGAAACUUACGCUAAUACCGCAUACGACCUACGGGUGAAAGCAGGGGAUCUUCGGACCUUGCGCGAUUGAAUGAGCCGAUGUCGGAUUAGCUAGUUGGCGGGGUAAAGGCCCACCAAGGCGACGAUCCGUAGCUGGUCUGAGAGGAUGAUCAGCCACACUGGAACUGAGACACGGUCCAGACUCCUACGGGAGGCAGCAGUGGGGAAUAUUGGACAAUGGGCGCAAGCCUGAUCCAGCCAUGCCGCGUGAGUGAAGAAGGCCUUCGGGUUGUAAAGCCCUUUUGUUGGGAAAGAAAAGCAGCAGGUUAAUACCCCGCUGUUCUGACGGUACCUAAAGAAUAAGCACCGGCUAACUUCGUG